rnacentral:rRNA from 1 species
UGGGGAAUUUUACACAAUGGGGGAAACCCUGAUGUAGCAACGCCGCGUGGAGGAUGACGGAUCUAGGUCUGUAAACUCCUUUUAUAAGGGAAGAAAUUUGACGGUACCUUAUGAAUAAGCACCGGCUAACUCCGUGCCAGCAGCCGCGGUAAUACGGGGGGUGCAAGCGUUACUCGGAAUCACUGGGCGUAAAGGGAGCGUAGGCGUUUUAUUAAGUCUUGAGUGAAAGCUCGCAGCUCAACUGCGGAACUGCUCAGGAAACUGAUAGAAUUGAGUAUGGAAGAGGUAGGUGGAAUUUCCGGUUUAGGGGUAAAAUCCGUAGAUAUCGGAAGGAAUACCAGAAGCGAAGGCGACCUACUGGGACAUUACUGACGCUGAGGCUCGAAAGUGUGGGGAGCAAACA